GCCUGGCUGGCUCAGUCAGCACAGUGUGUGACUUCUGAUCUCGGGGUUGUGGGUUCAAGCCCCACAUCAGGUG
rnacentral:tRNA from 1 species